GUUUCCUCUCUUGGCCUUGGAGACCCUUUCCCUCUGUCUCCGUACAGGGAAGCUUCUUCCUUCUUUCUUUUUUCUUGCCUAUUAAACUCUCUGCUCCUUGAAACUACUCCACGUGUAUCUGUCAUUUUAUGCAAUUCAGCCUAAGACAAGAGCCCUGGUGUUCCUCCACUCAUUGAAGUCGUAUCAUUUCUUUUUCUUUUUCUUUCUUUCUUUCUUUUUUUUUUUUUUUUUUUUUUUGAGUCAGCGUCUUCGUCUUUCACUCAGGCUGGAGAGUAGUGGCACAAUCAUAUCACAGCUCACUGCAGACUCGACCUCCUGGGCUCAAGCAAUCCUCCCACCUCAGCUUCCCAAGUAGCUGGGACCACAGGCAUGCUCCAUCAUGCUUGGCUAAUUUUUGUAUAAUUUUAUUUUAUUUUUAUUUUUUUUUUUUUGGAGAGAUGAGGUUUCGCCAUGUUUCUCAGGCUGCACUCACACUCCUAUGCUCAAGCAAUCUGCCGGCUUCAGCCUCCCAAAGUGCUGGGAUUACAGGUCUGCACCACACACCUGGCCUUGGAUUUAUUUCUUUUAGUCCAAAUACUCCUUUAAUAUUUCUGCAGUCUUAUAAUUACAAUAUCUGAUCAGGAAGUGAGUCUCCUUUCAUUAAUGUUGUGUGAACUCUCUUUAAAUCAAUUAAUGUAAACAGUAUAUUUUCCAGGAGAGUAAAUUUUUCUUAAAUUGUAUACUUGAUUUUAGUUUCUGUUUCAAGUUUUGUAAUUUGAUUCUUUUUCAGAAAUACCUAUAGAGAAUCAAAUCUUUCUUUUUUCUCCCACAGAUACCAUCUUCUCUUUGAUAGCUUUCAUGUUUUGUACUUUUCAACUUUUUUUUCUAUAUUCUAGGAUGGUUUCUCAAAUUCUCUGAUGUGUUCAUUUUGUUUUGCUAUUUCGAAUAUGGAUUUAGUUUAGGUGCAUAUUUUAGCUCCUCUACAAUGUUUCUUUUUUUUUUUUACUCUACCAGUCUCUAAAAAUCUAUUUCCAUUUCUUUAAUAGGUCAUUUAAGGGAUCUGCAUUCCUUUAAGUGUGUUGUUGAUAUGGUAAUUGGGUCAUGGGGGUGGUUUCCCCACCCUGUUCUCAUGAUAAUGAGUGAGUCUCAGGAGAUCUGAUGGUUUUGUAAGUGUCUGGCAUUUCCCCUGCUUGCACUCAUUCCAUCCUGCCCCCUGUGAAGAAGGUGCCUUUUUCUCCUUUGCCUGCUGCCAGGAUUCUAAGUUUCCUGAGGCCCCACCCAGCAAUGCAGAACUCCAACUCUUCUCUCUCAAUUUCUUGACCUUGC
rnacentral:lncRNA from 1 species